rnacentral:rRNA from 1 species
AUUGAACGCUGGCGGCAUGCUUUACACAUGCAAGUCGAACGGUAACAGGCCUUCGGGUGCUGACGAGUGGCGAACGGGUGAGUAAUGCAUCGGAACGUGCCCAAUCGUGGGGGAGUAACGUAGCGAAAGUUACGCUAAUACCGCAUAAGCCCUGAGGGGGAAAGUGGGGGACCGCAAGGCCUCACGCGAAUGGAGCGGCCGAUGUCAGAUUAGCUAGUUGGUGGGGUAAAGGCCCACCAAGGCGACGAUCUGUAGCGGGUCUGAGAGGAUGAUCCGCCACACUGGGACUGAGACACGGCCCAGACUCCUACGGGAGGCAGCAGUGGGGAAUUUUUGGACAAUGGGCGCAAGCCUGAUCCAGCCAUGCCGCGUGCGGGACGAAGGCCUCGGUUGUAA